rnacentral:rRNA from 1 species
CAGUCGCCACGGUAAAACGGAGGGUGCAAGCGUUAAUCGGAAUUACUGGGCGUAAAGCGCACGCAGGCGGUCUGACAAGUCAGAUGUGAAAUCCCCGGGCUUAACCUGGGAACUGCAUUUGAAACUGUCAGGCUGGAGUCUUGUAGAGGGGGGUAGAAUUCCAGGUGUAGCGGUGAAAUGCGUAGAGAUCUGGAGGAAUACCGGUGGCGAAGGCGGCCCCCUGGACAAAGACUGACGCUCAGGUGCGAAAGCGUGGGGAGCAAACAGGAUUAGAUACCCCGGUAGUCCCUGUCUCUUAUAC